AACCAUUAAUUUUACAAAAAAAUUACAAGAAUAACUUUUUCCAGUAAAUCUAAUAACGAAUCCAUUGACACCUCAUUUGUCAAGAUUGAACAAAAAAUAAGGAUAAUUUCACUCUUUGCUGUAGGCUAGACAUUUUUGUGUUGAGACAGAAAGUUGUUUGGCCUCCACAACAGUUUCUUCAGAGUAAAGUGAAAGUGGCUCAAACAGCUUUCAGUUUCUCCAAUGUGAGUGAAGUAAACAGCUUCCAGUUCCAGACUAUAAAAGCUGAUUUCUAGUCUGGAGUUAUACACUCUGUAUUCAAGGAAGCAGUUGGAGGUGUAGCCUACUUAUACAGAAAACAUCUGUGCAUAUUCUUCUACCUUCCAAGUUGGAAAACAUGGAGGAACCUGUAGUUAAAGAAAACAAAAUGGAGAGAAGUCACCCUAAUGGGAAGCUAUUCUGAACCAGGACAUGAAAAUGGAGGAGUUCAAUAAUAAUUGAGGCCAGGAGAUUAUCAUUCACUACCAGGAUAUCACCAAGACAAAAAUUCUUGGAAUACCACACUCAUCUCCAUACAUCAUCAUAUCAUGGUAGAAAGGUAUUUCAAUAAGACUAAUUGAUAUUAAGUUUAGUUUAGUUUUUAUGUAUAUUAAAAAAACAUACAAAAAUGUAUAGGCCCAUUACAGAGAGAGGUAUAAAUGGAAACUGUUUGCGUUUUAGAUGGGAUAAGUUUGAAAUUAUUGAUCCUAUAUUGAUAUUUCAAAACUUGAAACCAAUUGUACUUGAUAUAUGUUUAAGAGAAGCUGAAAAAUUUAAUUAUAAUAUAAAAUGGUAUGUUGCUCUCAAAUUAAAGCUAAAGAAAUUAGUUGCAGAUCAUGAAAUGGAUACUACACCAACAUUUCAUGGGAUAGCACGAACAAUUCUACAAAUUCAAGAUAACAUAAAUGAGUUUAGUGUUCAAUGGGAUGAAGCAGAAGGUAUUAUAUGGAAUAAAAUAGAUAAAUUCAUACAAUAUGGUAGUGGUUGGGUGAUUAAUUCAAUUGAAUGUUUUGAUUUGAAUAUUGUUUGCUACAAACCAAUAUAUUCAGGAACAUAUGUGCCAACUCCCAAAAAGCUUGAUAAUAAGAAAUCAACUAUUAAUAUAAAAAAUGAGGAUCAAAGGUGCUUCUUAUGGUCAGUACUAGCUUACUUCAAUCAAGACCAAAAACACAAUAGAGUAAGAGAUUUACAAAAAUACUCACAUUUAGUUAAUGUUGGGGAUUUGGAAUUCCCUCUAAAAAUAGAAGACAUUCCAAAAUUUGAGAGUUUGAAUGUAGAUAUUUGUAUAAAUGUCUAUGAUUAUAUAGAAGAGUGUGACACUAUCUCCCCACUCCAUGUAUCUAAAUAUCAAAGUAGAUUGCAUAAAA